AUUGAACGCUGGCGGCAUGCUUUACACAUGCAAGUCGAACGGCAGCGCGGGCUUCGGCCUGGCGGCGAGUGGCGAACGGGUGAGUAAUGCAUCGGAACGUGCCCCGUAGUGGGGGAUAGUCCGUCGAAAGCCGGAUUAAUACCGCAUACGACCUGCGGGUGCAAGCGGGGGACCGAAAGGCCUCGCGCUCUUGGAGCGGCCGAUGUCGGGGUAGCUAGUUGGUGGGGGAAAGGCUUACCAAGGCGACGAUUCGUAGCUGGUCUGAGAGGAGGACAAGCCACACGGGAACGGAGACACGGACCAGACUCCUACGGGAGGCAGCAGUGGGGAAUUUUGGACAAUGGGGGCAAACCUGAUCCAGCCAGGCCGCGUGCGGGAAGAAGGCCUUCGGUUUGUAAACCGCUUUUGUUCGGGAAGAAAUCCUCUGGGCUAAUACCACGGGGGGAUGACGGUACCGGAAGAAUAAGCACCGGCUAACUACGUG
rnacentral:rRNA from 1 species